AAUAGAUACCCCGGUAGUCCAUGCCGUAAACGUUGGGCGCUAGAUGUGGGGACCAUUCCCACGGUUUCCGUGUCGCAGCUAACGCAUUAAGCGCCCCGCCUGGGGAAUACGGCCGCAAGGCUAAAACUCAAAGGAAUUGACGGGGGCCCGCACAAGCGGCGGAGCAUGCGGAUUAAUUCGAUGCAACGCGAAGAACCUUACCAAGGCUUGACAUAUACGAGAACGCUCUAGAAAUAGAGAACUCUUUGGACACUCGUAUACAGGUGGUGCAUGGUUGUCGUCAGCUCGUGUCGUGAGAUGUUGGGUUAAGUCCCGCAACGAGCGCAACCCUCGUUCUAUGUUGCCAGCGGUUCGGCCGGGAACUCAUAGGAGACUGCCGGGGUCAACUCGGAGGAAGGUGGGGAUGACGUCAAAUCAUCAUGCCCCUUAUGUCUUGGGCUUCACGCAUGCUACAAUGGCCGGUACAAAGGGCUGCAAUCCGUAAGGUGGAGCGAAUCCAAAAAGCCGGUCUCAGUUCGGAUUGAGGU
rnacentral:rRNA from 1 species